UCAAUCUCGUGCGGCUAUAUAUACCGCCGGUCCCUCUAAGAAGAGUUCAAUGUACGCCGAUAGUUGAAGACCGCGACGCGAACGCGCGAACGCGAACUCGCCGACGGCACCUCGUGAUAUCGGAAAUACGUCUAUUUAAUAGGCUAGAGUUACGUUCGUUAC
rnacentral:rRNA from 1 species